UCCAAAUGGUACUGGGCUCGACGAGAACAGCGAGUAAUGUGUUGACUUAGCGGAGCAGCAUUCAAAUGCCACUUUCACCCACCUACGUCGAGGAUCUCAGUUCAUCCCACGGUAGAGUGACCGAUGAAAACAGCGCUGGCGCAGCACAGCUCAUUGAUCAGACGAUGAACAUCAGACAGCACAUCCCUUCUUGUGAACUCCUCUCUCGAGUUCGAAGUAUCGGCAUUGUGGAUGGUUCAGCAGAACAGCAGGUUCAGGACAGCCCAAUCGAUGCUGCCCAGGCAAGCGGCAGUGACCCUCCUUCUAGAGCGAAUAGAGAAAGACCACAGUCUGAAUGGUCUUGCCGAGGACCAUCUCAUCGGCUAGAAUGGUGUCGAUGGCCUGUCGAGGCUCUUCAGAGUGACCGAUGAAAACAGCGCUGGUGCAGCACAGCUCAUUGAUCAGACGAUGAACAUCAGAUAGCAGGCUGCAGCUCCAGCUCGAAAACAUCAUCACUUCCGAUUUUGUGAACAAAGUACCAAGCGGAUGCUGCCGCAGACAGUCGUCAUUUUGGUCAUCCAUCCAGGUGGUAAACUUGGGACGACCCACGGCAUCGCGAUUGAUCAAGAGACGCACACAGCGCGGUCCAGGGUACUA